rnacentral:tRNA from 1 species
GGAGGGAUGGCUGAGAGGCUUAAAGCGCUGGUUUCGAAAGCCAGUUGGCACUCUGUGCCACGAGAGUUCGAAUCUCUCUCCCUCCGCCA